UGACGGUACCUGACUAAGAAGCCCCGGCUAACUACGUGCCAGCAGCCGCGGUAAUACGUAGGGGGCAAGCGUUAUCCGGAUUUACUGGGUGUAAAGGGAGCGUAGACGGUGAAGCAAGUCAGAAGUGAAAGCUCGGGGCUCAACCCCGGAACUACUUUUGAAACUGUUUUACUAGAGUGCAGGAGAGGUAAGCGGAAUUCCUAGUGUAGCGGUGAAAUGCGUAGAUAUUAGGAGGAACACCAGUGGCGAAGGCGGCUUACUGGACUGUAACUGACGUUGAGGCUCGAAAGCGUGGGGAGCAAACAGGAUUAGAUACCCUG
rnacentral:rRNA from 1 species